rnacentral:lncRNA from 1 species
CUUCCAGGCGCUGCUGCCCCAACACAGGCGGGCACUCUCUGCGGGUCCCGCGGCUCCCGCGGCUUCCGGCCCACUCAGCGCCUCCAGAGGCCUCAGGUGAGGGUCACCCCCCGCAGCUUGGGGUCACUCCCCUGAGCCCCCGGAUCUUCCCAUGGGUCCUUUGGAGGCCUGGGUUUUGGAGUUUGUCCUUCGUUAAGUGCCGCCCGCCGGGCGCGGCUGCUCCAGGACCACAGAUUUCGCUGGGGAUGCUACUUGAUCUCUCUUCAGCCUCAGUUUCCUCACCUGGACAGUGGAGCUGAACCCACCCCCCACUAUCUGACCCUGCUCUCUGGGCUGUCUUUUGGGAACCCGCCCUGCUGAGGCCUGCUCCCCACCCUCCAUGGCUGUCAGCCCCCCAGGAGAAGAAUGUCUGCCAUAUGGAGGCUGCUGGCAGCAAAGGGAGAUGAACAAGCCAAGGUUGCCCGGCCUGCAUGCCGGCCCAGGUAGACACUUGAAAGGACCUUCUCUGUUUGUGGGUUUUUGCCCUGGUGCCUGGAGCCCCUUCCCUAUAGUCCCUUGACCCAGCCCAGCUCUAUGGGCUGGAAGCCCUGGCUUCUGAAGAGGAGAUGUCAAGCUCUACCACAGGUCACAGCCAGAAAGAAUUCUGGCCUCGUCCAGUGAUAGUAAAAGCCACGCCUGGGGAAUGUGCCCUCUCACAGGACAGCACUUCCAGAGGGGGCACAGCAGCAAGGUGGAGGGACAGACUCUGAUGGGCCCUUGGGGAGCUCAAGCAGAACCCACAGGGGCCCUCUUUCUGGGGGUACAAACUGGCAUUGGGUGGAGGGACAUCCAGUAUUGACACCUGAGGGACCUUCAUCCCCAAUGUGGAUUUAAAGGACAGCAGCUCACUGGGGAGACAAGGAGCCCUAUAACACUCCCACCCUCUCCUGAGCCUGCUUCUUGCUUCCUGGUCCUGUUCUUUAUUGGGGAAGGAGAAUCUUAUCUGACUGGGGGAACUCCAGGACUGACCCUGGCCACCAUCAGUAGUGGGUAGGGUAACCAAAUGUUCAAGGUUGCCACACUCAGAUGCCGGCCAUGCACAAGGGUGGGGCCUUCUGGACCUACCUCAAGCUCAUUAGGAACCCACAAGGAAGCUCCUUGAUGGGUGCUGAUGGGCAUCUGCACCCACAGAUUCACUGCCAGACACGGACAAACCGGGUUCCUGGGAAGCUGGAACCUACCUUAUGAAAGCCCCCAUUCCCACCACCCCCUCCAUCCCUCAGGGCUGCUGCUGUGUCUUGCCAUCAACCCUCCCCUGACACCCAGGAUGCCUGCCUCACCCAGAAGCACUCCUACGUCAGGCCUCUGAGGGGGAGCGCUUCAUGCCACUGUUAUCAAAAGAAGAAACCAUCGAAGCAGAAAGGCCAAUGCCACACUAGACAGCCAGGAGCCCAGCAGAACAAGUGGCCCCCUAAGGCACUUUGGGGACCACACCCCGCCACUGACCCCAGCACAGUCUGGUUCCCAGGGCUUCAGGAUCCUCCUGGGGACCUCUCAGCAUGAUUGACACAGGCAGACGGGACCUGAAGGGGCUGCUGGUCCUUCUGAAAAUGUUCACCAGGUAGUGUGAGUGUGGGGAAGCCAUGAACAAUGUGUGGGACUCUACCCUGCACCUGCUCAGAGCCUCAGCCCUUCAGAGCCACUACUAAUGAUUUGCUGUGGGUGGGGUCACCCUGAUACUUCUCUGAGGUGGCUUUUUCUUGCAGUUUUUCUGAGUAACUGACAGGAAUCCUUGACUGCAUGCCGCCUAAACUAGGGUGUGCACAGCCCUCGUUCUGUGCAAAGAGGGUGCAAAGCAGCAGAGUGUCUGUGACCCAUUUGCCACCUAAUGUUACUACAAGAUUUGCAAGAACCGGUCACUUAUCAGUAACCAUUUUUAUUUAAAAAGAUAAAAUAGAGCUUUGCAGGAAAGUGCUGCAGGCUCCCACGUUGCCGGGCAGACGACAACCUGGGCGCCUCGCCCAGCUCCUCCCCACAGCCAUUGGCAUCCACUGUCAGGUUUCAAUGUUCUUGGACCUCAGGGCCUUCGUCCUCUCCAAUCUAAAUGCAGAGAGACAUUUGACAUGGACUCUCUCAGGUGUUUUGCAAAAUGCAACACAUUCUCAUUGACUCUGGUCACUCUGCUGUGCACUACAUGUCAAAACCUCUUCCUCCUCCCUGAGACUUUGGUCCUUUAACUGACAACCCCCCUCCCAUUCCCUCCCUCUGCCACUCUCUGACCCCUGGUCACCAUCGAUCUACUUGCUACUUCUAUGGGGUCAACUUGUUUAGAUCAACACUUCUGGGACCUCACGUGGAAUUGGUCUCUCUGAGGUAGUGGAGAUGCUAAGUAGUGGGAUUUCCUCAUUCCACAUUGUACCCCAUGAAUGAAUACAAGCAUGAUUUGCCAAUUGAAGCAAUACAAUAAAGACAGAAGAAAUGUAAAAUGCAGGAAUUGUGGCUUGACCACCA